rnacentral:rRNA from 1 species
GACGAACGCUGGCGGCGUGCUUAACACAUGCAAGUCGAACGCUGAAGCUCAGCUUUUGUUGGGUGGAUGAGUGGCGAACGGGUGAGUAACACGUGAGUAACCUGCCCCCUUCUUUGGGAUAACGCCCGGAAACGGGUGCUAAUACUGGAUAUUCACUGGUCUUCGCAUGGGGGUUGGUGGAAAGGGUUUUUCUGGUGGGAGAUGGGCUCGCGGCCUAUCAGCUUGUUGGUGGGGUGAUGGCCUACCAAGGCUUUGACGGGUAGCCGGCCUGAGAGGGUGACCGGUCACAUUGGGACUGAGAUACGGCCCAGACUCCUACGGGAGGCAGCAGUGGGGAAUAAUGCACAAUGGGCGCAAGCCUGAUGCAGCGACGCCGCGUGAGGGAUGGAGGCCUUCGGGUUGUGAACCUCUUUCGCUCAUGGUCAAGCCGCAACAAUGGUUGUGGUGAGGGUAGUGGGUAAAGAAGCGCCGGCUAACUACGUG